CCUACGGGAGGCAGCAGUGAGGAAUAUUGGUCAAUGGGCGUAAGCCUGAACCAGCCAAGUCGCGUGAGGGAUGAAGGUUCUAUGGAUCGUAAACCUCUUUUAUCAGGGAAUAAAGUGCGGGACGUGUCCCGUUUUGUAUUUACCUUAUGAAUAAGGAUCGUCAAACUCCGUGCCACCAGCCGCGGUAAUACGGAGGAUCCGAGCGUUAUCCGGAUUUAUUGGGUUUAAAAGGUGCUUAGGCGGCCGUUUAAUUCAGGGGGGAAAGUCGGUGGCUCAACCAUAGAAUUGCAGUUGAUACGGGGAGGCUUGAGUAUGUGUGAGGCAGGCGGAGUGCGUGGUGUAGCGGUGAAAUGCUUAGAUAUCACGCAGAACCCCGAUUGCGAAGGCAGCCGGCCAAGCCAUGUCUGACGCUGAUGCACGAAAGCGUGGGGAUCAAACAGGAUUAGAUACCCUGGUAGUC
rnacentral:rRNA from 1 species